rnacentral:rRNA from 1 species
UGGGGAAUUUUGGACAAUGGGCGAAAGCCUGAUCCAGCAAUGCCGCGUGUGUGAAGAAGGCCUUCGGGUUGUAAAGCACUUUUGUCCGGAAAGAAAUCCUUGGCUCUAAUACAGUCGGGGGAUGACGGUACCGGAAGAAUAAGCACCGGCUAACUACGUGCCAGCAGCCGCGGUAAUACGUAGGGUGCAAGCGUUAAUCGGAAUUACUGGGCGUAAAGCGUGCGCAGGCGGUUUGCUAAGACCGAUGUGAAAUCCCCGGGCUCAACCUGGGAACUGCAUUGGUGACUGGCAGGCUAGAGUAUGGCAGAGGGGGGUAGAAUUCCACGUGUAGCAGUGAAAUGCGUAGAGAUGUGGAGGAAUACCGAUGGCGAAGGCAGCCCCCUGGGCAAGUACUGACGCUCAUGCACGAAAGCGUGGGGAGCAAACGGAUUAAUNCCCUGGUAGUCCACGCCCUAAANGAUGUCACUAGUUGUUGGGGAUUCAUUUCCUUAGUAACGUAGCUAACGCGUGAGUUGACCGCCUGGGGAGUAGGUCGCAAGAUUAAAACUUAAAUAAUUGACGGGGUCAAGCUGUUUCCU